rnacentral:rRNA from 1 species
GUGUCAGCCGCCGCGGUAAAACGUAGGAUGCAAGCGUUAUCCGGAUUUACUGGGCGUAAAGCGCGUGUAGGCGGUUUGGUAAGUUGGAUGUGAAAGCUCCUGGCUUAACUGGGAGAGGUCGUUCAAUACUGCCAAGCUUGAGGAUGGUAGAGGGAGGUGGAAUUCCGAGUGUAGUGGUGAAAUGCGUAGAUAUUCGGAGGAACACCAGUGGCGAAAGCGGCCUCCUGGACCAUUUCUGACGCUCAGACGCGAAAGCUAGGGUAGCAAACGGGAUUAGAAACCCCCGUAGUCC